GAUGAACGCUAGCGGGAGGCUUAACACAUGCAAGUCGAGGGGUAAAUGGCAGCAAUGCUAUGAGACCGGCGGACGGGUGCGUAACGCGUAUGCAACAUACCUUGUGCAGGGGGAUAGCCCGUGGAAACGCGGAUUAAUAUUCCAUAGUCCCAGCUGUAUCGCAUGGUAUAGUUGGUAAAGAUUUAUCGGCACAAGUUUGGCAUGCGUCUGAUUAGCUUGUUGGUAGGGUAACGGCCUACCAAGGCUACGAUCAGUAGGGGUUCUGAGAGGAUUAACCCCCACACUGGUACUGAGACACGGACCAGACUCCUACGGGAGGCAGCAGUGAGGAAUAUUGGUCAAUGGGCGGAAGCCUGAACCAGCCAUCCCGCGUGAGUGAAGAAGGCCUUCGGGUUGUAAAGCUCUUUCGGCCGGGAAGAAAUCGUAUGGGUUAAUACCCUGUGCGGAUGACGGUACCGGCAUAAGAAGCACCGGCUAACUACGUG
rnacentral:rRNA from 1 species